rnacentral:rRNA from 1 species
GACGAACGCUGGCGGCGUGCUUAACACAUGCAAGUCGAACGGAAAGGCCCUGCUUUUGUGGGGUGCUCGAGUGGCGAACGGGUGAGUAACACGUGAGUAACCUGCCCUUGACUUUGGGAUAACUUCAGGAAACUGGGGCUAAUACCGGAUAGGAGCUCCUGCUGCAUGGUGGGGGUUGGAAAGUUUCGGCGGUUGGGGAUGGACUCGCGGCUUAUCAGCUUGUUGGUGGGGUAGUGGCUUACCAAGGCUUUGACGGGUAGCCGGCCUGAGAGGGUGACCGGCCACAUUGGGACUGAGAUACGGCCCAGACUCCUACGGGAGGCAGCAGUGCGGAAUAUUGCACAAUGGGCGGAAUCCUGAUGCAGCAACGCCGCGUGCGGGAUGACGGCCUUCGGGUUGUAAACCGCUUUCGCCUGUGACGAAGCGUGAGUGACGGUAAUGGGUAAAGAAGCACCGGCUAACUACGUG